rnacentral:rRNA from 1 species
UGCGGCAGCGACACUAUGUGUUGUUGGGUAGGGGAGCGUUCUGGAAGCCGUUGAAGGUGUAUCGUGAGGUAUGCUGGAGGUAUCAGAAGUGCGAAUGCUGACAUAAGUAACGAUAAUGCGGGUGAAAAACCCGCACGCCGGAAGACCAAGGGUUCCUGUCCAACGUUAAUCGGGGCAGGGUGAGUCGACCCCUAAGGCGAGGCCGAAAGGCGUAGUCGAUGGGAAACAGGUUAAUAUUCCUGUACUUGGUGUUACUGCGAAGGGGGGACGGAGAAGGCUAUGUUAGCCGGGCGACGGUUGUCCCGGUUUAAGCAUGUAGGCGGAGGUUCCAGGUAAAUCCGGUACCUUUUAACGCUGAGGUGUGAUGACGAGGCACUACGGUGCUGAAGUAACAAAUGCCCUGCUUCCAGGAAAAGCCUCUAAGCAUCAGGUAACACGAAAUCGUACCCCAAACCGACACAGGUGGUCAGGUAGAGAAUACCAAGGCGCUUGAGAGAACUCGGGUGAAGGAACUAGGCAAAAUGGUGCCGUAACUUCGGGAGAAGGCACGCUGAUAUGUAGGUGAAGUGAUUUACUCAUGGAGCUGAAAUCAGUCGAAGAUACCAGCUGGCUGCAACUGUUUAUUAAAAACACAGCACUGUGCAAACACGAAAGUGGACGUAUACGGUGUGACGCCUGCCCGGUGCCGGAAGGUUAAUUGAUGGGGUUAUCCGUAAGGAGAAGCUCUUGAUCGAAGCCCCGGUAAACGGCGGCCG